GAUGAACGCUAGCUACAGUGCUUAACACAUGCAAGUCGAGGGGCAGCAUGGUCUUAGCUUGCUAAGGCCGAUGGCGACCGGCGCACGGGUGAGUAACACGUAUCCAACCUGCCGUCUACUCUUGGACAGCCUUCUGAAAGGAAGAUUAAUACAAGAUGGCAUCAUGAGUUCACAUGUUCACAUGAUUAAAGGUAUUCCGGUAGACGAUGGGGAUGCGUUCCAUUAGAUAGUAGGCGGGGUAACGGCCCACCUAGUCUUCGAUGGAUAGGGGUUCUGAGAGGAAGGUCCCCCACAUUGGAACUGAGACACGGUCCAAACUCCUACGGGAGGCAGCAGUGAGGAAUAUUGGUCAAUGGGCGAGAGCCUGAACCAGCCAAGUAGCGUGAAGGAUGACUGCCCUAUGGGUUGUAAACUUCUUUUAUAAAGGAAUAAAGUCGGGUAUGGAUACCCGUUUGCAUGUACUUUAUGAAUAAGGAUCGGCUAACUCCGUGCCAGCAGCCGCGGUAAUACGGAGGAUCCGAGCGUUAUCCGGAUUUAUUGGGUUUAAAGGGAGCGUAGAUGGAUGUUUAAGUCAGUUGUGAAAGUUUGCGGCUCAACCGUAAAAUUGCAGUUGAUACUGGAUAUCUUGAGUGCAGUUGAGGCAGGCGGAAUUCGUGGUGUAGCGGUGAAAUGCUUAGAUAUCACGAAGAACUCCGAUUGCGAAGGCAGCCUGCUAAGCUGCAACUGGCAUUGAGGCUCGAAAGUGUGGGUAUCAAACAGG
rnacentral:rRNA from 1 species